rnacentral:ribozyme from 1 species
AGUUUUCGAAAGUCGUUCACCUCCUCGUGGUGAAAACUGGAUAACGUUUAAAUAACUGAUAAACGGCAAAGAAACGACA